rnacentral:tRNA from 1 species
AAUAAUAUAGUUUAAGUAAAAUUUUAAAUUGCAAAUUUAAAGAUAGGCCACUCUUAUUAUUU